rnacentral:rRNA from 1 species
GGGGAAUCUUCCGCAAUGGGCGAAAGCCUGACGGAGCAACGCCGCGUGAGUGAAGACGGCCUUCGGGUUGUAAAGCUCUGUUAUACGGGACGAAAAGUCUUGUGGUUAAUACCCAUGAGAAGUGACGGUACCGUAAGAGAAAGCCACGGCUAACUACGUGCCAGCAGCCGCGGUAAUACGUAGGUGGCAAGCGUUGUCCGGAAUUAUUGGGCGUAAAGGGCGCGCAGGCGGCUUCUUAAGUCUGUCUUAAAAGUGCGGGGCUUAACCCCGUGAUGGGAUGGAAACUGGGAAGCUCAGAGUAUCGGAGAGGAAAGCGGAAUUCCUAGUGUAGCGGUGAAAUGCGUAGAUAUUAGGAGGAACACCAGUGGCGAAAGCGGCUUUCUGGACGAAAACUGACGCUGAGGCGCGAAAGCCAGGGGAGCGAACGGGAUUAGAUACCCCGGUAGUCCUGGCCGUAAACGAUGGGUACUAGGUGUAGGAGGUAUCGACCCCUUCUGUGCCGGAGUUAACGCAAUAAGUACCCCGCCUGGGGAGUACGGCCGCAAGGUUG